AGCGGGGGAGGCCCCGGGGGAGCGCGGCCCCCCACGCGGCUGCUGAGGCCGUGACUCCGGCGCGGGCGCACUGCACCUGUGACCUGUGCCAUCCCUUCUCAGGCACUGGGCUGAAGUCAGGGACACCUCCUUUCAGCCCAGUUCACCAUUCAAGGCACUAAGGAAUCUCCAAUCUCUGGAGAUUCUCUGAGAGCUGGGAAGGCAUUUUUGGAGCUAGUGCAGACUAAAAUUCAGCAACUGGGUUUCUUUGGAAGCACCAUUUUUUCCUAUGAGUAUUUCUCAGUGUAAAUGCUUUUGGUGGUAAGAGUGGCCAGACUCACCCAGGUGCACCCAGGGGCUCUUGAGCUGCUUGCAUCUUUCCAACAGUUCAGUGUCAGAGCCCCAGCAGUGAUGGUGUGUCUUGUGACCAACAGCAGUGCUGUUUUGGUCCAUGUUCUACUGGUUCGUCUGAACUCCUGCUCAGAGGAAGCAAGCCAGCAGGUGCCACAGAGGCCACCGCCAGUUUGCCCUGGAAUCCAGCUGCAUGCCAGCCCCCGUUACACAAUAAAACAUUUGGACUCUCAGACAGGCUUGGCUCACAGUCAUUUUCCCUCUACAGAGGUGUUUUAGAACACCUUUCUUCCCCUCAGCUACCUACAGAAGUUGCAGCUCUUAAGGUCAGCAAGACUGGCUGCUACUGGAGUAGUAACUGUCUCCAUAAAGUGGUGGGAUUCAAGCUGUUAAGUAAAGGCUGCAGUGCAGUGCUGCGUUAACAAAUCAGGCUUUGGGAUUAGUAACAUCAUUUGGGAAUAAUGUUGAGUGAGUGUAUGAUACUGGCCUCUAGCUGGCUUCCUUUUAAAUUUGAGAUAGGCACCUUCUUCAGACACACCACCUUCUCUCCUGUUCAUAUGUUGCUGAUAUUUCAUUGACUGUCUUAAUAAAAUCAGCAUUACUUUUA